rnacentral:rRNA from 1 species
UACGUAGGGGGCAAGCGUUGUCCGGAUUCAUUGGGCGUAAAGAGCGUGUAGGCGGCCAGGUAGGUCGGUUGUGAAAACUGGAGGCUCAACCUUCAGAGGUCGACCGAAACCAUCUGGCUAGAGUCCGGGAGAGGAGAGUGGAAUUCCGAGUGUAGAGGUGAAAUUCGUAGAUAUUCGGAAGAAUACCAGUGGCGAAGGCGACUUACUGGACACAUAUUGACGCUGAGGUGCGAAAGCGUGGGGAGCAAACAGG